CGUUGCCUCACCGCCAAUAACCUGCGUGUCACGUCAAGAGAAAAUUUAAAAAAUGCAGUUCGACCCUGAAAAAAGAAGAUUUCAAUACCAAAUUCUUUUGCGCUUCGGAUCCGUUGAAAUCCAGAGGUUCAGCCAGAGAACUGAAAAAAACAUACCAACAAUAGUAGCUGACUUCGUCACCACCCAUGUGGACAUAGGGAUCGGGAAAGGUAUUAAAGAUUUCACCGAAAAAUUGCUGUAAGAAAACGUAGUUCUCUUCCCACGAGUGGGCAUAAUAGCACCGUACUCAUCGGGCACUUUGAGUAUUCCGUUGUCGUCGUAACAUUCGGUCAACAGUCUCGGCUGUCCUCGGCCCCAAGAUUGUGUAUGGUCUAUCAUCGAAAUCAAAUUGUUGAAUCACAACUGUAAAGUUUGAAUUUAGGAAAAUAAUAAACCUGGACUAUCGAAUUCAGGAAUGACCCGAAUGCCUCUCAACCGCGCAUAUUCAAUGACUUCGCGGACAUCGUUGGCAGUGUAGAUGUGACUGAACGGCUGGAAAGAUCCGUAACGACUAAUAUUUGGAAAAAGUGUACUCUCGUAGGGGAAUGAAGCGUCGUCAGUCAAAUGCCAGUGCAAGACGUUCAUCUUAUUCUGGGCCAGCAGGUCCGUCAUCUUCUUUAUCGUUUUCAACGGCAUGUAAUGACGUGCCGUGUCCAUCAUAAAUCCGCGAUAAGAAAAACGCGGAAAAUCGUUUUGGAUUUCAUCUUACUGCGACGCCCGUUUCAGCAGAGGAGUAGACGAGUUGACUUAGAGUUUCCAUGCCACGCAAAAUACCCCAGACGCUAUCGCUAGUGAUUGUUGCCUUGAGCGGAUUAUCGGCCGUGUCAAUUUUGAUAUUAUCUAUAGAAGACACCAAAAACAUGUUUGUUUUGUUUACAUGAUUGAACUGCAUCCGUGCUUUUAUCUCACGACCAUCAAUUUUCUAUAUGUAUACGUACAGGACUCGAGCAUAUCGGCAGACGGGAGGUAUUCGCAAGGCUGUUUUAAAUCGAUUUCAACUGAAUCGAGAAAUGCUCGAAAUUGCGGAUGCUCUUGGAUUGGAGUCGGUGGCGGAGGGUAAGACAGGGGAAUACGUCCAGCAUCCCCCGGAUAAAAGAUGAUUUGGUAAUAACGACGUACGGCUUCGUCAAUGAUAUCACACCGUUCACCAACGACCUAAAAUUGGUGAAGCAAAAGUUUUUCUGUUACAAUAUCGUGUUAUCCAACAGUUUAGUGGAAAUAAGACCAACAUUGGAUGGAUUCAUUAGGAUAAAUACCUGAAAUUGGAACAUGGUAGGCCUGAGAACGAAAAACGUUUCGCUGGAUGUUUGCUGCUGGGGUUUCGGCCACACUUGGCCAACGGUUGGAAGGAUCCAACGUCCGUACCAGGGGAUAACAAACGGAACCGAUUCCGAUGGCGCCCAUUGCAUUGACGCCACGUAGCAAAAGACUAACAAUAAAACGUUCAUGAUGUCCUCGAUUAGCACACGGAAACUGAACCGAAAUACGAGUGCUACUUUUGCUAGUCAGUGGGAUCACACUGAAUAACACUUUCCCGUCCUCCCUAAACGUAGAUAAGUUACUGCUGUGGCAUGAAAAACAGGAUUAUCGUGUCAGAUUACAAACGUCUUUUUCAAAUGGCCCGACCGUUACAAGAAGGUGCUCGAAAUUAUUGAAUUUCUACACUUCCGGAUCGUUUUUGGGGCCGCAGCUAUUUUCGCUAACUUGUGAUGAUGCCGGUAUGGCUUUUCUGAAUUUUUUACAUUAAUUAUCUAGGCGAUUCGAAAUGAUGUGAUGUGAUUAAAACAAGAACACUUUCUUUGCUAUUGCUGGCAGUUAACUAAGGAAAUGCUUAUCUACAGUAUUAAUCAAGGAUAAGAUAAUGUUCAUAGAAGAUGACAACAAUACUUGCAGAGUAGAGAAUCACGGCGAAAAUAACUGAAGGAUGAAGAAUGUCAACGAUGCAACUCAGCCAUCCAACGGAAUGUCGAACAAAGGAAUGAAAUGAAUUUCAGGCAAGUUUCCGCUAUUGGAUUGAAGAGAAUCAAAUAAACAAUGUAAAUUUUGUAA